rnacentral:lncRNA from 1 species
AACAAACCAAAAAGGAGUACAUUGCUCCUGUAAAAAGAGAGAUAUCAUAGCUCUAUUUUUCGCUGUGGCAGAACGAAAUGGUUCAAGGAUUCAUCCAUUUCAAGAGGCUAGGCAAUUUAUUGAUUAGAGAAGGAAAAUUUUGUUUGGAUACAAAUGAUCGGAUCCUCAGUUUGGAAACAGUAAGGAAAAAUGGAGGUGUGGACAAUGAGAUCGGUGGAACACUCUUUGUUCUUGGUAUGGGACGGUAUAGGAAUAUUUAAAUCUCAGGUACUGCUCUUACUCUUUCAUUCUAUUUCAGUUUAAUUAUUUAUUUUUAUUUGGAAAAUCGGAUUUUUGGAGGUAUGUUUGUGUUAUUUGUUCAUUUUGUAAAACUUAUGGCUUAUGAGUUGGUUCCUCUUCUAGAUCCCGCUACCUUUUCAUGAGAAUAGGAUUGCUUAUAAACCGGCGUUAUCAUAUAUUAUUGUAUUGUUUGGCUGGGAGUCAGCUUUUGUGCUUACUGAUGCAAAUGUGGGUAAUUGGCUGAUGAAUCAUUUUUUUAGCCUUGGACAAUAUUUUUGUAUGAAUUUAUCUAGUGGUACAUAAUGGUGUGUAUCGAAUGGUGUACAUCUCACUUGUGAGAUUCAUGUGAAAAAAAUAAUAUUUUAUUUGAGUAGAUCUCUCGUCCAUAUAAGUGGGGUGUACACCAUUAGAUACAUCUCGAUAUACCACUAGCAAAAUCGAUGUUGUAUACACAAAUUAAUAGAAGUGUUAAUUUUAAAUUUUCCUACCCGACCCAUUAACCCAAAAUUUGUCGGAGGAAAUGGUAGCUAAUGGCUGCCCCACACGACCACUUUUUCAAGGAAAUAGUGGCCAAUGACCGGAUUCAAAGAGGCCUUUGACCAGUAAAAAAAAAAAAAAAAGGCAAAAAUGUUUAAAAUCUUGAAAAUCAACAAAAAUCAAGAGAAACCCAAAUUUAUGCUUACCAUUUGAAAAAGAAAUAGAAGAGAAUAAGGAGAGUGGAAAAUUACUGUAGUACCGUAAACCCAAGCAUUGACACAAAAGGAAAAACAAGAGACCCAGUUGGCUAUUUCUUUCUGAAGAAGGUAAGAUUUUCAUACCAAGAAAAAACAUGUUUUUAUUUUAUUUUUUGGAAAAAAAGCAUGAUUAUAUAUAUAUACAUAUGUUGAGAAAUCCUUGUGUAAAUAUGAAAUUUGGGUAAGAAUAUUGUUUGGGAAGGCAAAAAUUGAGUGGAGAUUGUCGGAAAUGGAGUUUUCCGACUAUCUUCACGGUAAAACGUGGUUGGGGCCGUCUGGGCGCCCACCCCAAUUGACUGGACCAUCCGUUAUUUGGGUCGUGGGCUUAUAAUUUUUUUAUUUAUUUCCCGUAAUUAUUGAAGUUAAUUGAAUAAUUAUUAAUUUUCUAUUGUGUUCUCUAAUAUUUAAUUAUUUAUUUGAAUUGUUUAAUUUUAAUGUAUAUUAUGUAUUUAAAAUUAUUUAUUUGAAAUGUAAGAUAUAAAUGUUUUAUUAUUUAUCGAAAUAUUUAUCUGUUGCUAAUUUAGAUCAAUUUAUUAUUUUAUAUUAAGUAAUAGUAAAAUAAUUAAAAGAAAUAAUUACAUAUUAAAUAAGUAAUAUAUAUAAAGAAUUUAAAUAAAUAUUUAAAUAUUUGUAAAAUAAUAAAAAUAAUUAAAUUUGAAAAUUAAAAUAGCAAUAAAAUUAAUUUUUUGCAAAGUAAUUAAAAUAAAUUUGUAAAUAUGAAAUAAGCAUUAUGCGUAAAAAAUUAAAAUAAGUAUUUAAACAUUCAUUAAAAAUAAAAAAUUAAAUUAAGUGUUAGAAAAAAUAAUUAAAAUAUUAAAAUAAACGUUCAAACUAAGUAUUAGUAAAAUAAUUAAAUAUUAAAUAAGACAUAUAUAUAUAUAUAUACACACACACACCCCAAAGAGAGGGGGGGUCCUGAAAAAUGUUAGUAUUUCAAGGAUUAUAAGAAGGUUAUAAGGUGGUUACAAAUCAAAUUAUAAAAGUCCUACUCAGUACUCUUCUUAAUUGAAAUAUCUUUUGAUAAGAUAAUAUCCUUUUUUUUUAAACUUUUAUUUGAAAUUAAAAAAGUAUGCCAUCUGAGAUAUAUGAACUUGUGCCUAACUCCAUUAUUGCAAGGACACCACUGGCACUCUCUUAACAAAAAUUCUUAAAACAGUGAUCCUUUUCCCCUUUCUAUGCGUUUCACUAGCUUUUCCACUAGGCCUUUACGCUUUUGAAGGGUCACUCAGAGCUUAUUUUAAAAACAGUUUAAACUUUAACUUGGAGUUAAGACAUGUUCUUAUUAUAUACUCAGCAUGAAACAUAAAACUUUACAAAGAAUUUACAGAAACAAAAAAAUCUUAUAAAUAACAUUUGUUCUUUAAAGAUAUGGGACUAAUAUUGAUUAUUAGUACCAUAUCUUAGAACAAUAAAACAUACAUACCGGAAUGAUCCAUCAGUAGUUUAAAAACAUAAAUAUAUAUAUUUUUAGGAUAUUAUCAUAUCUAAGAAUAAAAACAAUUAAGAAUUUCCCUUUCGGGAAAGAGAGAAAAUUAGAACAUGUUUCAAAGAAACAAAGAACUUUUAUUAUUUUUCUCUAUUCUGUGUGUUUACAAGUGAAAGAAUGACUUCUGAUAUAGGAAAGAAAAAGGAAGAAAACGUGUUUUUCAAAAGCAAAGAAUCUUUGCUUUUUCAAAAACGUCAAAAAGAAAACAGUAAAAAGUUUAAUUAUCAAAUCUUACUUUAUAAAAUAGUAAGAUUCGUUACAAAUUUUUCAAACAGUAAAAAGUCUGUCUCUCGUACAAUAAUUUCUGAUCUUUUUGAAAGUUUGCCAAGUGUCUCUUUUCCAGCUAAGUCUUUCUUUGUAUGAUCAGAUCUUUCUUGAAGCCUUAUCUUAUUUCAUAAUUGUGUCGGCCAAUGCUGUCUAAAGAUGCUCCUUCAUCAGUAUAGCCUUCUGAAUUAUUGUCCUCUUCUGUAUUAUUCUCAUAAUCUUCUUUAAGAUCAAUUUUCUUUUUGCCUUUGUUUUUUUUUCUUUAUCUGCAACUUCUUUUUUUUUGAGGUCUUUUGUUUAACUAGUUGCUGUAAUUUUUCUAUUUUAUCAAACAUUUCUUUCAAUCUUUUUAUAUUUGAUUGAGUAAUUUGAUCUGGAUCUUGUGAUGAUUGAAAUAAUUCUGAUAUAAGAUUAACUGGGCUUUUCUGUUUUAAAUCUAUUGGACUAAUUAAUCUAGUAGCAUAAUUUACAGUUUGCUGAGUCUGUUCUUCAGUAAUUUUAUUUUCUGUAACAGGAUUUUCAGCCUGUUGAGUCUGAUUAAAUUGAAAAGUAGGAGAAUCAACAGCCUCCUGAGUUUGUUGGGCUUUUGGUAAGUCCAAAACCAUAAACGAAUUUGUUAAGUCUUUACCAGCUACCGUUUGAGCUGGACUAGUUAUAGACUUCUUGGGCUCUAUAGUAACUGAAACUGUCUGAAAAUCUGAAUUUAGAAUUUUUAUUUUAAUAAUUUUUUGUUCUAGAUCAGAAAUCUUCUUUUGUAAAAAUAAUUUUUCUUGUUGUAAAAUUUGAUUUGAUUCAUUUAAAAUUUUAAAAUUUCUAGUCAUGCAUUCACAAUGUUGACAAAAAUUUGAUGAAAAAAAUGUUUCAAAUUAGGCAUUAGAUUUUUCAUCAAAUUUUUGUCAACAUUGUGAAUGCAUGACUAGAAAUUUUAAUACAUUUUCUCCUAAAAAACUUUAUCUUUUUCCCAAUAUUUUAAUACAUUUUCUCCUAAAAUUUCUAAUUUUUCUAGUUUACUAAUCAUGUUUUCUAUAUCUUGUUCUGUUACUAACAAAUUAUAUAUUUUUUCAAUUUAUACAAAAUCUAAACAUAUUUCUUCUUCUUCAUAAUAUUCUUCUAAAAAAUUUUCUAAUUUUUAAUUAUUUUUAUUUUUAGAUAUGAUAAUAUCCUAAAAAAAAUAUAUUUAUGUUUUUAAACUACUGAUGGAUCAUUCUGGUAGGUACGUUUUAUUGUUCUAAGAUAUGGUACUAAUAAUCAAUAUUAGUUCCAGAUCUUUAAAGAACAAAUGUUAUUUAUAAGAUUUUUUGUUUNAAAAUCGAUGUUGUAUACACAAAUUAAUAGAAGUGUUAAUUUUGAAUUUUCCUACCCGACCCAUUAACCCAAAAUUUGUCGGAGGAAAUAGUGGAGGAAAUGGUAGCUAAUGGCUGCCCUACACGACCACUUUUUCAAGGAAAUAGUGGCCAAUGGCCGGAUUCAAAGAGGCCUUUGACCAGUAAAAAAAAAAAAAGGCAAAAAUAUUUAAAAUCUUGAAAAUCAACAAAAAUCAAGAGAAACCCAAAUUUAUGUUUACCAUAUGAAAAAGAAAUAGAAGAGAAUAAGGAGAGUGGAAAAUUACUGUAGUACCAUAAACCCAAGCAUCGACAAAAAAGGAAAAACAAGAGACCCAGUUGGCUAUUUCUUUCUGAAGAAGGUAAGAUUUUCAUACCAAGAAAAAAUAUGUUUUUAUUUUAUUUUUUGGAAAAAAAGCAUGAUUAUAUAUAUAUAUAUAUGUUGAGAAAUCCUUGUGUAAAUAUGAAAUUUGGGUAAGAAUAUUGUUUGGGAAGGCAAAAAUUGAGUGGAGAUUGUCGGAAAUGGAGUUUUCCGACUAUCUUCACGGUAAAACGUGGUUGGGGCCGUCUGGGCGCCCACCCCAAUUGACUGGACCAUCCGUUAUUUGGGUCGUGGGCUUAUAAUUUUUUUAUUUAUUUCCCGUAAUUAUUGAAGUUAAUUGAAUAAUUAUUAAUUUUUUAUAUUGUGUUCUCUAAUAUUUAAUUAUUUAUUUGAAUUGUUUAAUUUUAAUGUAUAUUAUGUAUUUAAAAUUAUUUAUUUGAAAUGUAAGAUAUAAAUGUUUUAUUAUUUAUCGAAAUAUUUAUCUGUUGUUAAUUUAGAUCAAUUUAUUAUUUUAUAUUAAGUAAUAGUAAAAUAAUUAAAAGAAAUAAUUACAUAUUAAAUAAGUAAUAUAUAUAAAGAAUUUAAAUAAAUAUUUAAAUAUUUGUAAAAUAAUAAAAAUAAUUAAAUUUGAAAAUUAAAAUAGCAAUAAAAUUAAUUUUUUGCAAAGUAAUUAAAAUAAAUUUGUAAAUAUGAAAUAAGUAUUAUGCGUAAAAAAUUAAAAUAAGUAUUUAAACAUUCAUUAAAAAUAAAAAAUUAAAUUAAGUGUUAGAAAAAAUAAUUAAAAUAUUAAAAUAAACGUUCAAACUAAGUAUUAGUAAAAUAAUUAAAUAUUAAAUAAGACAUAUAUAUAUAUAUAUAUAUAUAUACACACACACACACCAAAGAGAGGGGGGUCCUGAAAAAUGUUAGUAUUUCAAGGAUUAUAAGAAGGUUAUAAGGCGGUUACAAAUCAAAUUAUAAAAGCCCUACUCAGUACUCUUCUUAAUUGAAAUAUCUUUUGAUAAGAUAAUAUCCUUUUUUUUUAAACUUUUAUUUGAAAUUAAAAAAAUAUGCCAUCUGAGAUAUAUGAACUUGUGCCUAACUCCAUUAUUGCAAGGACACCACUGGCACUCCCUUAACAAAAAUUCUUAAAACAGUGAUCCUUUUCCCCUUUCUAUGCGUUUCACUAGCUUUUCCACUAGGCCUUUACGCUUUUGAAGGGUCACUCAGGGCUUAUUUUAAAAACAGUUUAAACUUUAACUUGGAGUUAAGACAUGCUCUUAUUAUAUACUCAGCAUGAAACAUAAAACUUUACAAAUAAUUUACAGAAACAAAAAAAUCUUAUAAAUAACAUUUGUUCUUUAAAGAUAUGGGACUAAUAUUGAUUAUUAGUACCAUAUUUUAGAACAAUAAAACAUACAUACCGGAAUGAUCCAUCAGUAGUUUAAAAACAUAAAUAUAUAUAUUUUUAGGAUAUUAUCAUAUCUAAGAAUAAAAACAAUUAAGAAUUUCCCUUUCGGGAAAGAGAGAAAAUUAGAACAUGUUUCAAAGAAACAAAGAACUUUUAUUAUUUUUCUCUAUUCUGUGUGUUUACAAGUGAAAGAAUGACUUCUGAUAUAGGAAAGAAAAAGGAAGAAAACGUGUUUUUCAAAAGCAAAGAAUCUUUGCUUUUUCAAAAACGUCAAAAAGAAAACAGUAAAAAGUUUAAUUAUCAAAUCUUACUUUAUAAAACAGUAAGAUUCGUUACAAAUUUUUCAAACAGUAAAAAGUUUGUCUCUCGUACAAUAAUUUCUGAUCUUUUUGAAAGUUUGCCAAGUGUCUCUUUUCCAACUAAGUCUUUCUUUGUAUGAUCAGAUCUUUCUUGAACCCUUAUCUUAUUUCAUAAUUGUGUCGGCCAAUGCUGUCUAAAGAUGCUCCUCCAUCAGUAUAGUUUUCUGAAUUAUUGUCCUCUUCUGUAUUAUUCUCAUAAUCUUCUUUAAGAUCAAUUUUCUUUUUGCCUUUGUUUUUCUUCUUUAUCUGCAACUUCUUUUUUUUUGAGGUCUUUUGUUUAACUAGUUGCUGUAAUUCUUCAAUUUUAUCAAACAUUUCUUUCAAUCUUUUUAUAUCUGAUUGAGUAAUUUGAUCUGGAUCUUGUGAUUAUUGAAAUGAUUCUGAUAUAAGAUUAACUGGGCUUUUCUGUUUUAAAUCUAUUGGACUAAUUAAUCUAGUAGCAUAAUUUACAGUCUGCUGAGUCUGUUCUUCAGUAAUUUUAUUUUCUGUAACAGGAUUUUCAGCCUGUUGAGUCUGAUUAAAUUGAAAAGUAGGAGAAUCAACAGCCUCCUGAGUCUGUUGGGCUUUUGGUAAGUCCAAAACCAUAAACGGAUUUGUUAAGUCUUUACCAGCUACCGUUUGAGCUGGACUAGCUAUAGACUUCUUGGGCUCUAUAGUAACUGAAACUGUCUGAAAAUCUGAAUUUAGAAUUUUUAUUUUAAUAAUUUUUUGUUCUAGAUCAGAAAUCUUCUUUUGUAAAAAUAAUUUUUUUUGUUGUAAAAUCUGAUUUGAUUCAUUUAAAAUUUUAAAAUUUCUAGUCAUGCAUUCACAAUAUUGACAAAAAUUUGAUGAAAAAAAUGUUUCAAAUCAGCCAUUAGAUUUUUCAUCAAAUUUUUGUCAACAUUGUGAAUGCAUGACUAGAAAUUUUAAUACAUUUUCUCCUAAAAAAAUUUAUCUUUUUCCCAAUAUUUUAAUACAUUUUCUCCUAAAAUUUCUAAUUUUUCUAGUUUACUAAUCAUGUUUUCUAUAUCUUGUUCUGUUACUAACAAAUUAUAUAUUUUUUCAAUUUCUACAAAAUUUAAACAUAUUUCUUCUUCUUCAUAAUAUUCUUCUAAAAAAAUUUUUAAUUUUAAAUUGUUUUUAUUCUUAGAUAUGAUAAUAUCCUAAAAAAAAUAUAUUUAUGUUUUUAAACUACUGAUGGAUCAUUCCGGUAGGUAUGUUUUAUUGUUCUAAGAUAUGGUACUAAUAAUCAAUAUUAGUUCCAAAUCUUUAAAGAACAAAUGUUAUUUAUAAGAUUUUUUGUUUUUGUAAAUUCUUUGUAAAGUUUUAUGUUUCAUGCUGAGUAUAUGAUAAGAGCAUGUCUUGACUUCAAGUUAAAGUUUUAUGUUUCAUGCUGACAGUGUCGCUGGUCCGGAUGGCUUCUCAUCCCUAUUCUUCCAGCAUUGCUGGGAUAUCAUUCAGGAGGAUGUUUACAGGGCGGUAUUGGAUUUCUUUGAUGGUAGUCAUCUUCCACGGGGUUUUGCUGCUACUUCUAUUGUCUUGCUACCUAAGAAGGAUGGUGCUUGCAGAUGGACUGAAUUCAUACCAAUCAGUUUAUGCACAGUGUUCAAUAAGAUUAUUACUAAGCUUUUGAACACUCGGUUGAGUACACUGCUACCGCGCAUUAUUUCCUCUCCACAGAGUGGUUUCAUCCCAGGCCGUCUGAUUGGAGAUAAUGUUUUAUUGGCUCAGGAGCUUCUCUACACUUUGGAUGAUAGAGUACGAGGGGGAAACACUAUGCUGAAGUUAGACAUGGCUAAAGCAUAUGAUCGCAUGGACUGGGGCUUCAUUUAUUCUAUAUUGGAGGCAUUUGGAUUUGAUCAGAUCUGGAUUGACAGAAUCAGGCGGUGCGUUUCGGAGUGUCGUUUCUCCGUACUCCUAAAUGGCCGCCCAUGUGGUUUUUUCCCUCCUCACGAGGAUUCAGACAGGGUGAUCCUAUCUCCCCAUCCUUGUUCAUCAUUGCAGCAGACUACUUCUCACGCUUGCUCACUCAGAGGUUUCAGCAGUAUCCCAGUAUGUGUUAUCGACAUGGAGGUAGUGCUCUUGUCUCACAUCUCUCAUUUGCUGACGAUAUGAUCAUCUUUGCCAACGGUCAGAAACAGUCUAUCAGGAGGGUCUUAGACUGCUUGGAGCACUAUGAAGGAGUUUCUGGCCAAUUGGUGAAUAGAGACAAGAGCGGUAUUAUACUAUCCAGACGGGCAUCCACUAGUCAGAUCAGACGACUAGAGAUUUUGACUGGCUUCAGACAUCAGCAGCAGCCUUUCACUUACUUGGGUGUCCCCUUAUUCAAGGGGACUAAGAGGAGCUUCCUUUAUGAUAACCUUAUCCAGAAGAUAAGGAAUAGGAUAUCAGGUUGGGCCUCACGAUUACUAUCGCCUGGGGGUCGUAUUACAUUACUGAGGUCAGUACUUUCUUCCAUACCUUUACAUCUUCUUCAGAUUAUGCAGCCGCCCAAGGCAGUGCUGAAGAAACUUGAGA